GGGCCCGCACAAGCGGUGGAGCAUGUGGUUUAAUUCGAUGAUACGCGAGGAACCUUACCAGGGCUUAAAUGCAGAGCGACAGAGGUGGAAACACCUCCUUCUUCGGACGGUCUGCAAGGUGCUGCAUGGUUGUCGUCAGCUCGUGCUGUGAAGUGUCGGGUUAAGUCCCAUAACGAGCGCAACCCCUAUUUCUAGUUGCCAGCGGUUCGGCCGGGGACUCUAGAGAAACUGCCAGCGUAAGCUGUGAGGAAGGUGGGGAUGACGUCAAAUCAUCACGGCCCUUACGUCCUGGGCCACACACGUGCUACAAUGGUAAGGACAGAGAGUUGCCAACCCGCGAGGGUGAGCUAAUCUUUAAACCUUAUCUCAGUUCGGAUCGAAGUCUGCAACUCGACUUCGUGAAGUUGGAAUC
rnacentral:rRNA from 1 species